ensembl:misc_RNA Metazoa_SRP Metazoan signal recognition particle RNA
GCCGGACAUGGUGGUGCAUGCCUGUAAUCCUAGCUACUCAGGAGGCUGAGAUGGGAGGAUCACCUGAGCCCAGGAGGUCAAGGCUGCGGUGAGCUGUGAUCAGGCCGCUGUACUCCAGCCUGGGCAACAGAGUGAGACUCUGUCUCAA